rnacentral:rRNA from 1 species
UACGAAGGGGGCUAGCGUUGUUCGGAAUCACUGGGCGUAAAGCGCACGUAGGCGGAUCGCUAAGUCAGGGGUGAAAGCCCGAGGCUCAACCUCGGAAUUGCCUUUGAUACUGGCGAUCUUGAGUUCGGGAGAGGUGAGUGGAACUCCGAGUGUAGAGGUGAAAUUCGUAGAUAUUCGGAAGAACACCAGUGGCGAAGGCGGCUCACUGGCCCGAUACUGACGCUGAGGUGCGAAAGCGUCGGGAGCAAACAGG